CCUACGGGCUGCAGCAGUGGGGAAUAUUGCGCAAUGGGCGAAAGCCUGACGCCGCGACGCCGCGUGAGGGAUGAAGGUCUUCGGAUCGUAAACCUCUGUCAGCAGGGCAGACCGGUCACUGUGCUAAUCAGCCGUGAAUUGACGGUACCUGCAAAGGCCGCACCGGCUAACUCCGUGCCAGCAGCCGCGGUAAUACGGAGGGUGCGAGCGUUAAUCGGAAUUACUGGGCGUAAGGGGCGUGUAGGCGGGUUGACAAGUCAGAUGUGAAAUCCUGCGGCUUAACCGCAGAACUGCAUUUGAAACUGUUGAUCUUGAGUACUGGAGAGGCAGAUGGAAUUCCUAGUGUAGCGGUGAAAUGCGUAGAGAUGAGGAGGAACAGCAGUGGCGAAGGCGGUCUGCUGGACAGCAACUGACGGUGAGGCGCGAAAGCGUGGGGAGCAAACAGGAUUAGAUACCCGGGUAGUC
rnacentral:rRNA from 1 species